rnacentral:ncRNA from 1 species
GAAAAAAGGCGUCUUUUUCCUUUUAAUUAUUUUAAUUAAAUUAAUUUUUUUUAAACACAAUUGGCCCUUUUUUAAGGUCUUGUUUGAAAAAUAAUUAAUAAUAUUAACUAAAUUUGUGCCAGCAGUUGCGGUUAUACAAAUAAUAUAAUUUAAUUUUAUUAAUAUUAAUUAGUUAAUAUUAUUUAGUUUUAAAUAAUAAAUUAUUAAGUGAAAUUUUAAUUUUUAUUUUAAAUUUAAUUUAUUGAGUAAAGUUAAAAAAUUAAAAGAAUAAACUAGGAUUAGAUACCCUAUUAUUUUUAGUGUAAUAAAAAUUAUUAAAUUAGUAAUAGUUAUGUUCUUGAAAAUUAAAAAAUUUGGCGGUAUUUUAGUCUUUUCAGAGGAACCUGUUUUUAAAAUGAUAAUCCACGAGAAAAUUUACUUUUUUUAAAAAUUUACAUAUCGUUGUAAUUAAAUAUUUUUAAAAAUUUUAAAUAUUUAAAAUUUUUUAUUAAAAAAUUUAUCAGAUCAAGGUGUAGUUUAUAAAAAAGAUAAAAUGGGUUACAUUAAAGUUAUUUUAGGAUAAUAAUUUGUAUAAUAAAUUUGAAUAUGGAUUUGAAAGUAAUUUAAAUAAAUUUAUUUAAAUGAUUUUGGCUCUAAAAUAUGUACAUAUCGCCCGUCGCUUUCAUUUAAUAUGAAAUAAGUCGUAACAAAGUAGAUUUACUGGAAAGUGAAUCUGGAGUUC